rnacentral:rRNA from 1 species
AUUGAACGCUGGCGGCAGGCCUAACACAUGCAAGUCGAGCGAGCGGCGGACGGGUGAGUAAUGUAUGGGGACUGCCCGAUCGUGGGGGAUAACUCCUGGAAACGGUAGCUAAUACCGCAUACUAUCGGAUAACCCAUAUGGGAUUAGCUAGUAGGUGAGGUAAUGGCUCACCUAGGCGACGAUCCCUAGCUGGUCUGAGCGGAUGAUCAGCCACGCUGAUGGUGAAACACGUCCCAGACUCCGAGGGAGGCAGCAGUGGGGAAUAUUGCACAAUGGGCGCAAGCCUGCUACAGCCAUGCCGCGUGUAUGAAGAGGGCCCUAGGGUUGUAAAGUACUUUCAGUCGGGAGGCGUUACCGACAGAAGAAGCACCGGCUAACUCCGUGCCAGCAGCCGCGGUAAUUC